CGGGUCCCUCCCCUCAAUCGCGGGUGGCAGCGGCCGGCGCCAGGCCCGUGGGGGGCGGGGUGGGGGCGGCGCGGAGAGCGCGGAGAUUACUGCGGCGCCACCAGGGACUCCGAGGGUCCCGAGCGGUCCCCACGAGGGACCGCGAACGAUGAACACAGGCAGUCAGCGAGGUCGAAUAAAAAGGAGUUGGUCCCUGCGCGCCGCCCGCCCCGGGGCCCCCCGGCAGCUUCCAGUGGCCGCGGGCGCCGGCGGCGACGUCCCCCGCCCCCAACCCCGCGCGCAAGUGCAAGGCUGCCCGCGGCGCGGCGCACGCUCGGCCGCUCCCGGCUUCCGCGCAAAACUUCGAGCCUGUCCGCGUGAAGUUGUCGCUCCCGUUCAGAGGGGUUAAGAGUUUAGUUUGGAAAAGCGGGGCAAGAGGCGACAGCGGUGGCGGUGCGCGCGCUCUCUUUUUCUUUUCUUCCACUUUUUCCCCACCCCUGUCUUAGUCCAGAGUUUUGGCUUCUCUCCUUUCCUCCUCCCCCUCGGAGCCGGCUUCUCCCCCCGCCCCGUUUCUCCCCCACUAGUGUACGCUAUUUGUUGGGGGGGGGUGGCCGAAGGGGAUGUCCUGUUUUCACCAGAGGCACAACGCGAAGGGGAAACUCCGACACUGGAAGGAACGAGAGUAAAUACCUAAAUACAGAAGCACGGGUCCGCGGCUGGGACAGACGCUUGAACUUCAGAUCCCGAGGCAGUCCGGGCUGCGGGGAGAUUGUCCACUUUUAAUUGAAGGAAGUUGCUUCUGUUUGGAGGUGGCUGGAGUAGUGAGAAAACCACAUGGAAGACUCCCAGGACUUAAAUGAGCAAUCAGUGAAGAAAACGUGCACAGAAUCCGACAUUUCAGAAGCUCAGAAUUCCAGGUCUAUGGAAAUGCAGGACCUCGCAAGUCCUCAUCCUCUUGUUGGAAGUGGUGAUACUCCCGGUAGCUCCAAACUGGAGAAGGCUAAUCUCAGCAGCACAUCUGUCACCACAAAUGGAACAGGAGUGUCUCUCCUUGCAGUCAAAACAGAGCCUUUGAACAGCAGUGAAGCGGCAACCACCACUGGAGAUGGAGCCCUUGACACUUUUACUGGGUCAGUAAUAACAAGUAGUGGCUACAGCCCCAGAUCAGCGCAUCAAUAUUCCCCACAGCUAUAUCCUUCCAAGCCCUAUCCACACAUUCUUUCUACACCAGCAGCUCAAACAAUGUCUGCCUACGCAGGCCAGACUCAGUAUUCGGGGAUGCAGCAGCCGGCCGUCUACACAGCCUACUCACAGACAGGACAGCCCUACAGCCUGCCCACUUACGAUCUGGGCGUGAUGUUGCCGGGCAUCAAGACGGAGAGUGGACUUUCACAGACUCAGUCCCCGUUACAGAGUGGGUGCCUCAGUUACAGCCCGGGGUUUUCCACCCCACAGCCAGGCCAGACGCCUUAUUCUUACCAGAUGCCAGGUUCUAGUUUUGCGCCAUCAUCUACUAUUUAUGCAAAUAAUUCAGUCUCCAAUUCAACGAAUUUUAGCGGUUCACAACAGGAUUACCCAUCCUACACAGCCUUUGGCCAAAACCAGUAUGCCCAGUAUUACUCAGCAUCCACGUAUGGAGCAUAUAUGACAUCAAAUAACACAGCUGAUGGCACAUCAUCCUCGACCUCAACCUAUCAGUUGCAGGAAUCUCUCCCGGGACUGACUAGCCAACCAGGUACAGAUCUUCAUCCAGGAGAGUUUGAUACCGUGCAAAGCCCCUCCACACCUAUCAAAGAUCUUGAUGAGAGAACAUGCAGGAGUUCUGGGUCAAAAUCCCGAGGAAGAGGCCGGAAAAAUAAUCCCUCCCCGCCUCCUGACAGUGACCUGGAGCGUGUGUUUGUCUGGGACUUGGAUGAAACCAUCAUUGUUUUCCACUCACUGCUCACAGGGUCUUAUGCCCAGAAGUAUGGCAAGGAUCCCCCCAUGGCUGUAACCCUGGGACUCCGAAUGGAGGAAAUGAUUUUUAAUCUUGCUGAUACACAUUUAUUUUUUAAUGAUUUAGAGGAGUGUGAUCAAGUUCAUAUAGAUGAUGUUUCCUCUGAUGAUAAUGGGCAGGACUUAAGUACCUACAGUUUUGCAACUGAUGGCUUCCAUGCAGCUGCAAGUAGUGCAAACCUUUGUUUGCCAACAGGUGUAAGAGGAGGGGUUGACUGGAUGAGGAAGUUGGCUUUUCGUUACAGAAGAGUAAAAGAAUUAUACAACACCUACAAGAAUAAUGUUGGAGGACUCCUUGGCCCUGCCAAGAGAGAUGCAUGGCUCCAGUUAAGGGCAGAGAUCGAAGGUCUGACAGACUCCUGGCUAACAAAUGCACUUAAAUCCUUAUCAAUUAUUAGUACUAGGAGUAACUGCGUAAAUGUCUUGGUAACGACAACCCAACUGAUCCCAGCACUCGCGAAGGUUCUACUCUAUAGUUUAGGAGGUGCUUUCCCCAUUGAGAAUAUUUACAGUGCAACUAAAAUAGUGCAUUGUUUUUCAGGCAAGGAAAGCUGUUUUGAGCGUAUAGUGUCCAGAUUUGGCACUAACAUAACUUAUGUUGUGAUUGGAGAUGGCCGAGAUGAGGAGCAUGCCGCUAACCAGCACAACAUGCCCUUUUGGAGGAUAUCAAGUCACUCAGACCUCUUGGCUCUGCAUCAAGCACUGGAAUUAGAGUAUUUGUAACUGUGUUCUCUAGCUGGAGAUCCAUUUUUUUUUAUAUAUAUUUCAAGUACACUGAAUUUUUAUGUGUGAUUCAAUGCCCCUGGCUUUACACAUAUAAAUUGUCUUAAAGGAUGAAAUCAUAUUUGGAAUGAAAAUUCCAGAAUGAAGAAUUCAGAUUGCUGAAUGGAGUUAAACUUUAGCGCUACAGAAAGGAAGCUCUAUGGUCUUAUAUUUACAACACUUUAAUGUUUAAAAAAAUAAAAAAUCUGUGGAGGUUGCUGGUACACACCGAGUGAGUCCUAACUGGAAUUAACAGCUUUAGCAAAGACCUCUUACCCCUGGCAAAGCACCAACACAGGCUCCGUCUGACAAGGUGGUGUUCAACAACAUUCCUCAAAAUGGGAGAUCUUCUCAGCCCUGAGGUUUGAAUCUGACUUUAGCCUACCUAGCCCAGAAAAUCUGAAUUGGAAUGCACUCAGACUGUAUAAGGACGAUCCUAUCUAGACCUGUAAUUUGUGUAAAUUAUGGAUGAAAAUAAUUUACUGUGACUUUAUUAGCAGCUGACUUUGAAAGUGGAUGCAAUUUUUCUUUUCAUUUGUUGGGGAGGGAAGUGGGUGGGCAGUGGGAGUCUAAUAAUGUCUCUUUUUUUAAGUUUGGCAAACAAAUUGUUCAUACUGAUGUGUUGUGCCUUAAAGACAAGACAGCAUUUGUGUGUGUUACAGUGUAACUUUGGUUAAAAUCUCUGUAGAUAAUGAAAAACAAAAACAACAACAACAACAAAAAAAAGCCUUUGUGAUCAUUCUUAAGAUGACCAAAUUUAAAAUUCAAGCUAUCAAAGCUUAAUACUGCAUCAGCAAGAAACUGAGUAUUUGUUGCAAUAAGAAGACAAUGAUAAUAAAGGAAAGCUUGUGUUUUAUUUGGGUUCUUAAUAAUUCCAAUAGUUAUAUGAGGCAACUAUUUGUGCAUCCAACCAUAAGCAGAAGGUUAUGGGAAGGUUUGGGAAAGACUGUGGGACCUUUACUUAAAAGUGAAAUGUGUGUUGAAGUCUCGAGUACCCCUUUCUACAGUUCUUCUGGAGAAAACUAAGAGCCAUAUUCAUGACUACUUACAUUAUUUUGAGUUUGACUUUUUGAUAUGUGUAACUUGUGUCGAGGAAAAUAGUCUCAUUAAAAUCAUAACCAAACAGCCCCCAAACUUUCUUAGGCUAUUCCAUGAACAUGGCUUGAAAUUCACAUUGAGUGAACAUGGCUUAAAAUAAAGCUAAGUGCAUUCAUUCCCAGUGCCAUCAUGAAAAUGAAAUGUCAUCAGUGGUGGAAGAUGAAUGCCCAGAUGCCUUCUAAAGAAAGGAGUGAAUCAAUGAAAAUUUUACCUAGAAUAUCAUCAUAAAAUAAAUUGGCAAACGAGCCAGAUCUUGGCAGCAAUACUGAAAAUUACAACAGUGAAAUAGUAUCUGGUUCUCUGUCUGAAUGCAUCAAUCCAGUUUCUCUCCCUUAGAGACCCAUGCACCUUCAUUUCUGCCCGCACUGUUCCUGCACAAUGGCGUGCAUUCAUUGCAAGGAGAACCUGUCAUCGUUGUGUGUGCAUGUGUGUUUUUUUCUUGGUGUGUAGCCCAUGUUAGGAACACGAUACAGGUUCUCCUGUCAUUUUGUAUGACAUGAAAUUUCCCUUGUGGAAAUUUAAGACUUCAAGAUCUAUGAGUGUUUUAACGGUGUCUGUACCUGCAGUUCUGUGUUUAAAAUGUGGAGGCUGGAAUCCAGCUAAUAGGCAGAGCCCCUAACCAGACGUUGGUCCGUGAUAGCUCAUCAUCUGAGGCUUCCAUGGCUCCCGUAGGAUCAGUGCUUUGCACACUGAUCACAAUAUUCACUAUGGAAAUGAGGUUUUAUUUUCCAGGUUGUAAACCUGUAUUUCUUUACUGAAUGCUAAGACCAUAUUUACCUUGGGCAGAAAGAGCUUGAGAUCCAGUUUUGCAGAUUUUAAGACUGUGAUUUCAUCACACAAACCUUAAACUUAUUCUUUAAAUUUUGUAACUUUUGGCUCUCUCUGCCCCAAGUACUGGUGCAGACAAAUUAAGGUUGCAAUACUUUUAAUAAUAAUGAUAAUGAUAAUGAUCAUCAUCAUCAUCUUACAUUUCUAUUGGCCUUAACUUGAAAACAGCAGUUUAAAAAAAUCAAAGAGCUGCACUGAUUAUCAAUAAUUAUAUUUUGUGCACUAACACCUUAAAUAUUUAUUACUGUGAAUAAAACAAUAUUAUCUUUCUGGCCAGUUUUUUUAAAUGAUAGAUUUGUGGCAUUACAUCUAGACUUUUAAUUCUUUUUCAUAUCAAACAAGCAAAGCAUCUAAUGUUGCUAAAACCCUGCAGGUACAGAAAGGAACACCCUUUCACAGGCAAAGGAAGUGUCACUGAUGACCUCACCCAGUGCUAUUUCUCACAUACAUUAUCCCCCCUGAUUGUGUGUUCAGAAGAGGCUGCUGGCAUAAAAUCUAAAUGCUAGGUUAACGAACAGCUUGAUGGCACAACAAUGGCGCAGGCCAAUAUGGCCGACCUCACAGCUUGUCAUGCAACUUCAAGUGUGCUCAAACUGGAACCCUGCCUUUCCUAUGCUAGGAACAGAGAUCUUCUUCCUUUCUGAUCUAAUAAAACAAAAAAACAAACAAAAAAAAACCCAACAAACAAACAGAAAAAACAACCCCUUUGGCAGUUCCCACUUUCUAUUGACAUAGACUAUUGUGCCUUAUUAUAAACCAAUUUGAAAAGUGUUCUGUCACUGAAAUGAGUUUUCGGCUACUACAUGUAAAACUUGGUCUAUCACUAGGAAAGGUAACCACCUUGUGUCACGCCUGAAAAAUAUCAAAGCAGGUGGCCUGGCUACGAUAUUAUAGCAUACAAUAUUAAGUCACUCUACCCCUACAAAAGUUUAAGUCAAAUUCAGAAGCAAAAAAAAAAAAAAAAAAAUUUUUAGAAUCAUGCAGUUUGUGCACAAAAAAAUGGAUAACUCUAAAAAUGUUUUUUUCCUUAGUCCCUGGUGAGUGAAGAUUCAAAAUAGUGUCAACAGCAUGCUCCAGUUUGAAGUUAUCUUUUUAAGCACAUUUUUUUUUGAAGAGCCUACAUUCUCAGUGAAUAUGGCAUUUAGUAUUUCUUUCAAAAACAAAUUUAAGCAUCAUGAGCCAAAGUUGCAUUUUGACUCCCAACUAUGGUAGCAUUAUGGAAAUCUCACAAAGUCAAGGGUUUCUGUUAUGUAUUAGUAAAGUAUAGAUUAUUGGGGCUGAUAUAAUUUAAGAAAUGUAAAUUAAUAUUAAAAGCUUGUAAAAAUAUGUACAUCUUUACUAUUUCUCAAUAAAUACCUUUGGAAAUGUUUUCAUUUUCUUCACCCUCCCAUGUUGUAGAGUUUUUGUUGUGUGGACUUAGCUCGAUUCUAAACAAUGUGAAAUUUGUAUUUAAGCUUCCUGAUGUAUUCUUACCUUCCCUUGCUUAUACCUAGAUGUCAUUUGCAGUUAAGGCGAGUGAGAUGUAACAUGACAGAAUGUCCCUCAUCAAGACUACAGUCAUAAAAUAGAUUUUUGUGCCUUGUGGCUGCAAUGAUGAUGUCAGUCUAGUUCUCUGUGAAACCUUCAGUGAAAAGACACAGAAUUGAAUGAGAGUGUGUGUUGGAGAAGUUGGUGGAGCCAUCAAGUAAAUCAGUCUCCACAGAACCACGGGCACGGCUGACUCUGAACUCAUCACACUCUUGACCCUCAAGCUCUUUGGCAGGUAGGUAGAGGUGAAUCUGAAGGCAGUGUGAAAGGGGUUACCAUGAGUAUCACAUGGGCAUGGUGACUAGUUUGCAGAGGCACUUAACCAGUCCUCAAAGGGAAGAUUCCUGGAGAAAAUGAUUUCUAGGGCUCGACCUCCAAGGACAAAAUGGAGAAGACCAGGGAUUGGAAGCAUCUAGGGAAUAAGAGAGUGUUCAGGUAAGAGAGAAAAGUAGAAUGGUGUGGUCAGGGAACCUACAAAUAAUUACUAUUUCUGGAACACAGGGUGAAGAGAGGGAAUAGUAAGAAAUGAGUCUGGAAAAUAAGCAAGGGUCAGAUCAUGAGGAUUUCAAUAUUCCAUCUGGUUUGAUUUUCAAUACACGUUUUGAUUUUAUCAUGGGAUCCGUAGGUGUCAAAUGAAAGGCUUGUAAACAGAGGGUGCAGGUGUCCAGAUUUGCACUGGAUAACAGUGACUCUGGCCCCACAGUGGAGAAUGGAGGAUCUGUGAGCCUGGGACGGGGUCCCAGAGAGUUACUGAUAGAUUCCUGAGUUAGGUGAUGGCCACGAAUGUGGAGACAGGGACACAGAUUUAAAGAGAUUAAGAUGCUAAGAAUAAUUAGCAUUUAGCAAUUGUUCCUGCUUCUCCUCAAGCCCUCAGGCAAAUCCCACCUUACCUCUGGGUUUCUGGGAAAAAUUUGGGAAAUUUGGUAGAUGCGGUGCCCAAGAUGUAGGUGUAGGGCCAUUCACAGAGAUCAGAAACAAAAAAGAGAAAAGGAUUCUGGUAGCCAUUUCCAUUGCUGUUGGUGGUGCUAGUUAUUGGAGGAAGAUACUGAAUCCAGUGGUUGGAAGUGUUACAUGGGAGGUGGUGGUGCACCUCAGAGUAGAGUUGUCCAGUGGGGUGGUGAACUUGUAGUGACUUCCUGGCUGGUUAUUAAACACCUUGUCAAGUCAUAAUGGAAUUAUUCUGAAAGCAGUCAAUAAAAUCCCAAAUAAUUUUAUCAGAUCAUAUUAAUUAGUCAUUGAAACAAGAUUUGCUAUUUGUGCUACCUUGAGAGAGCGUUAGUGAAAGCUAGAAAUGAUGGCAGGAAUGGAGAAUAUGUAUGUACAGUGUACACCAUGGAAAAUUAUUUGGGGUUACCAGUUGACUUAACAUCCUGCUUUCCUGUCUCUUGCCUUACCCUAAUUUCCUUUAAAGAUAAAGUAAUACUGUAUCUGGAUUUACAACCCUGAAGGACUUCAAAUGCCUCUAUGAACUUUUCAUCACUCACUUGUACAAGUCAUCGCCAGCUUAUGUCUGCUUGGAAACAAAAAUGACAUUUCUAAUUUAUUUGCCAAACAAUGAAGACCUAAUGGAGAAGGAGCUCUACAACAGAAUGACAAGUGAUUUAGUCACUUCUUCUUUGACAGAUUUAUGUACUCCAAAAAAAUAUGGCUUUCAUUAAAUUAUAUGUUAUGGUGGGAUAAACUAUUUAAUGGAAGUGGACAGUAAUAAUGUGUAUGUGAAUAGAAAUUAAAAACCAUCUUAUUUAGCUCGUGAAAUUACGUCUACAUCAAUUAUGGAAACAGCAGGGGGUGAGGUGGAGGAGACAUUAGAGUGGGUUCUGAAAAAAUGGUGGUAUAACACAUCAUUUUUUAAACUUGCAUUUAAAGUUUUACAAAUGACCAGUGUAUUUUCCAAAUGUUGAGGACCAGCUGCUAUCCUAAAUAAAAUCUGCUACCACUGAUUAUGACCACUUCUGGCAGUACAUGUUGUCACCAUGCUUGGCUCAAGAACUGAAUUGGUUUUGGGGCACCUGGGUGGCUCAGUCAUUAAGCUUAUGUC